rnacentral:rRNA from 1 species
CAGCCGCCGCGGUAAUACGUAGGUGGCGAGCGUUAUCCGGAUUUAUUGGGCGUAAAGGGUGCGUAGGCGGCUUGUUAAGUAUAAAAUUAAAGCCCGAAGCUUAACUUCGGUUCGUUUUAUAAACUGGUAGGCUAGAGUACAGUAGAGGCAAAUGGAAUUCCUAGUGUAGUGGUAGAAUGCGUAGAUAUUAGGAGGAACACCAGUGGCGAAGGCGAUUUGCUGGGCUGUUACUGACGCUGAGGCACGAAAGCGUGGGGAGCAAAUAGGAUUAGAUACCCUAGUAGUCCACGCCGUAAACGAUGAGUACUAAGUGUCGGGUUACCGGUGCUGAAGUUAACACAUUAAGUACUCCGCCUGAGUAGUACGGCCGCAAGGCUGAAACUCAAAGGAAUUGACGGGCACCCGCACAAGCGGUGGAGCAUGCUGUUUAAUUCGAAAGUACGCGAAGAACCUUACCUAGAUUUGACAUCCUCGGCAAAGCUAUAGAAAUAUAGUGGAGGUUACCCGAGUGACAGGUGGUGCAUGGCC